GUUUACGUAGUGUAGUGGUUAUCAUGUUUGCCUAACACGCGAAAGGUCUCUGGUUCGAGCCCAGGCGUAAACA
rnacentral:tRNA from 1 species